GAGGUGUCCCUAGGGCACCCCUAAAUGUGGCUCAAUGCCUGUGUAUCUCCCUAAAGGGUGUUCUUGCCCCGCCCCUGUCACCCCUUCCAACCUGCAGGCCAGCGGUUCCCUGCACCCCACCAGCUGAUUUCGAGCGUGGCAGAGGGAAGGAAAGGGGCGAGCGGGCUGGGCAAUGGACCCGACAGGAAACGGGGACUUAGGGGAACACGCUGGAGAUGCCAUGUGUGGCUGCCGAAGGUCACCAUCUCUCCUCAGUGGCUCCCCAGAGCAGGUGCUUUUAAGAACCCUGUUUCCUCUCAGAGCCCAGGGAGAGUCCAAGGACAUGGCGCAUCAGGAAGUGGGACUGCAGGAGUUCUCUGGUGGCCUCGUGCUGUCCCUCUGGCCACUUCUCACUUUAGGGUGGUCAGCGGCAGCUCGCCAUGGCAGUGCCCAUUGGUGCACACUAACCUCAGUGGAAAAGUAACCAUUCCCUGCCUCUUAGAAAGAACUCAUUCUUAGUUUUAGGAGGGUUCCUGUCGCUGAAUCAAGUCGCUGCCCUGGAUGCAGGGCUGGCCUGGGCGACCCUCCAGGGAUGAGGAGCUCAGAAUUCCAGUCUUCUAAUGUCCACGGACACCUCCCCAUCCCUCUAACGUACUGACUAUGUCUUUUGAUUUAGCAUGUCUUCUAUAGACCUUCCAAAGAGACCCACACUGGCACUGUCACCCCCUAGGAGGGAAGGUGAUGGUUGAUGUAGCCCGACGCGCAUCUUGUUAAUCCGUUCUAAUUCCGAGGAGAGUGUGGGUUUAAGAUAACACCUAUUAAUGCAUUGCCACAAUAAUGUGGGGGUAAGAGAAACGCAGGGACGAAACUUCCAGAAACAAACCCUCCAGAUCGUUCCACAGGAGUGUUCGCCCUCCGGUGUGACUGAACGACCGACCUUGCCCAUGGCUUCAUCCAGACAGCACAGCUGCAGUAUGGCUGGACAGAAGCACCUACUGUUCUUGGAUAUUGAAAUAAAAUAAUAAACUUGCAAUGAUCUUUG
rnacentral:lncRNA from 1 species